rnacentral:rRNA from 1 species
AGAGUUUGAUCCUGGCUCAGGAUGAACGCUAGCGACAGGCUUAACACAUGCAAGUCGAGGGGCAGCGAGGGCGUAGCAAUACGCCUGUCGGCGACCGGCGCACUGGUGAGUAACACGUAUGCGACCUGCCCCCUACAGGGGUAUAACCCGUAGAAAUGCGGACUAAUCCCCCAUAGUCCUGGGUGCUGCAUGGCAUUCAGGGGAAAGGCCAGCCGGUAGGGGAUGGGCAUGCGGCGCAUUAGCUAGUUGGCGGGGCAACGGCCCACCAAGGCGACGAUGCGUAGGGGUUCUGAGAGGAAGGUCCCCCACACUGGUACUGAGACACGGACCAGACUCCUACGGGAGGCAGCAGUGAGGAAUAUUGGUCAAUGGGCGCAGGCCUGAACCAGCCAAGUCGCGUGAGGGAAGACGGUCCUACGGAUUGUAAACCUCUUUUGUCGGGGAGUAACGUGCGGGACGCGUCCCGUAUUGAGAGUACCCGAAGAAAAAGCAUCGGCUAACUCCGUGCCAGCAGCCGCGGUAAUACGGAGGAUGCGAGCGUUAUCCGGAUUUAUUGGGUUUAAAGGGUGCGCAGGCGGCGCGCCAAGUCAGCGGUCAAAGUUCCGGGCUCAACCCGGUGUCGCCGUUGAAACUGGCGUGCUCGAGUGCGUGCGAGGAAGGCGGAAUGCGUUGUGUAGCGGUGAAAUGCAUAGAUAUGACGCAGAACUCCGAUUGCGAAGGCAGCUUUCCAGCGCGCUACUGACGCUGAGGCACGAAAGCGUGGGGAUCGAACAGGAUUAGAUACCCUGGUAGUCCACGCAGUAAACGAUGACUACUAGCUUUCCGGGAUGAUUGAAUCCUGGGAGGCACAGCGAAAGCGUUAAGUAGUCCACCUGGGGAGUACGCCGGCAACGGUGAAACUCAAAGGAAUUGACGGGGGCCCG